GAUGAAGAACGUAGCGAAAUGCGAUAAGUAAUGUGAAUUGCAGAAUUCAGUGAAUCAUCGAAUCUUUGAACGCACCUUGCGCCCUUUGGCCAUUCCGAAGGGCAUGCCUGUUUGAGUAUCAUGAACACCUCAACUCUUCAUGGUUUUCCAUGAUGAGCUUGGACUUUGGGGGUCUUGCUGGCCUGUGGGUCGGCUCCUCUCAAAUGAAUCAGCUUGCCGGUUUUUGGUGGGCAUCACAGGUGUGAUAACUAUCUACGCUUGUGGUUUUCCACCAGGGUAACCUUCAGCAGUGGAGGUUCACUGGAGCUUACAAAUGUCUCUCCUCUGUGAGGACAGCCCUUUGAAUGUUUGAUCUCAAAUCAGGUAGGACUACCCGCUGAACUUAAGCAUAUCAAUAAGGGAGGA
rnacentral:misc_RNA from 1 species